rnacentral:rRNA from 1 species
GACGAACGCUGGCGGCGUGCUUAACACAUGCAAGUCGAACGGUGAAGCGCCUUCCUUUUUGGUGGGUGUGGAUGAGUGGCGAACGGGUGAGCAACACGUGAGUAACCUGCCCCCUUCUUCUGGAUAACCGCAUGAAAGUGUGGCUAAUACGGGAUAUUCUGGGUCUGUCGCAUGAUGGGUCUGGGAAAGAUAUUGUUUCGGUGGGGGAUGGGCUCGCGGCCUAUCAGCUUGUUGGUGGGGUGAUGGCCUACCAAGGCGGUGACGGGUAGCCGGCCUGAGAGGGUGGACGGUCACACGGGGACUGAGACACGGCCCAGACUCCUACGGGAGGCAGCAGUGGGGAAUAGUGCACAAUGGGCGCAAGCCUGAUGCAGCGACGCCGCGUGAGGGAUGGAGGCCUUCGGGUUGUGAACCUCUUUCGCCAGUGAAGCAGGCCUGCCUCGUUUGUGGGUGGGUUGACGGUAGCUGGAUAAGAAGCGCCGGCUAACUACGUG